UACAGCCACAUCAUGUUGAAACACCAGUUUCCAUAGGAUCAUUAAAGUUAAGCAACAUGGAGCCUGGUCAGUACCUAGAUGGGUGACUGCUUGGGAAUACCAGCUGCUGUAAG